rnacentral:SRP_RNA from 13 species
ACCCGUGAACUUCGUCAGGUUCGGAAU